rnacentral:rRNA from 1 species
UACAGAGGUGGCUAGCGUUGUUCGGAAUUACUGGGCGUAAAGGGCGCGUAGGCGGCUUGGUCAGUCCCGUGUGAAAUCCCUCGGCUCAACUGAGGAACUGCACGGGAAACUGCCUGGCUUGAGUUCGGGAGAGGGAAGCGGAAUUCCGGGUGUAGCGGUGAAAUGCGUAGAUAUCCGGAGGAACACCGGUGGCGAAGGCGGCUUCCUGGACCGACACUGACGCUGAGGCGCGAAAUCUAGGGGAGCAAACGGG